GAAACGAUAAAAUGCUAGUACAUAAAUAGACCAAAUAACACAACAGCCAAAACAAUUUCUUUAUCUCCCUCCUUCGUUCUUCUUUCUCCCAACCGUGAACACCUUAAACCCUUUUCUCAAUCCUCUCUUUGAAUCCCUAAAUGGAACUUCUACACUCUUAAGUACAUCCAACACUCACCUUAAACCAACAAAUUAAAACAAUAACAAAAAACUAUCCCUACGCCACCGAUUCAAACGUACGCAAACGAAACCCAAAGAUUCACAAAUAACCAAAACAAAUCUCAACAGUAUGGUAAAAGGCAUGCACAACAUUUAUACAAAACAAAUAUGUGGAUUAAUGCAGAAGGAAGCAAUAUAAAGCUCGCUGGAAAGUAGAGUUUUCGACGAGCGUACCGGGGAUGUGACCCGACCUCAAUGGGUUGAGCUCUUCAAGUUCUGAUUUCCAGUAUGAAAAUCAGAGUUGAAACGGAAAUUAAUCGAGCUUUGGUGAUGGUUUUUGAUUUUGAUUUUCGGUCAAUAUUUGUGCAAAGUAACAACAGGGUUUUGUCUCCUCUCCUUCCCAUAUUACUUGAGGUCCCUUUUAUAGAGUUCCCGUAUGAGGUUUAUACGUCCUUAUCUUUCGUGAGCUGGCAAAUAGAUCCCAGCAUCAAAUCGCUAUGAACAAAUCUUUCACAGAUUUAGUGUGGUCCCAACAGGAAGUGGUAAGACGGGAUUGUUUUUAUGGUGUCUUCCCCAAAAGGUGCGUGGCUAUUUAUUAAAACCUCUUCACAGACUUUCUACUGCUGUAAAAACAAGUAUUCAUUGUGGUAGGAGUCUAAUUUUUACCUUUACGUAAAAUUUAACCUUUAGUCAAGGCUAUUCUAGUUUUUACUGAUAUGAGGAUUUAACGUUUUAACUUGAAUUGUUGCAUUGAUCCUUGCUGCUUGGGGGUGUGAACAUAUAAAAACAUGAUUAACAUCUAUUUUGCUCUGAAUAUUAGUUGACCAUAUUUUCCAAUUGCAUUGGUUACUUGUCAAUCAUAUUUAUUCAUUUCUGUAGGAUCUCGGAUGUGUGGCUCGUUUUUGUGACGACAUGUGACCUGAAGCGUCAAAGUCGUUGUAGUUUGACGUGGAGAAUGCUCUGCGGAUGUUGAAGUUGGUGUGGUUCAUUGUGCAAUGUUUGAGUCUGCAGAAUGUUGGCCAUUUGCAUAUUGGUGAUGAGACUGGUGUGACAAGCACCUUAUGCAGAAUCUUUUGGAAGAACCUGUGGCAUGGUUGAUAACUUCUGCAGACACUUGGAGUGGAGCCAAGCCGAUCAAUAAGCAUAGGGCCAUCGAUUCAUGAUGAUAUGCCCGUUUUCUCCUAUUUGCACAUGCCAUUUAUGAUAACGGCUCAAUGAAUUCAUUUACUUAUUUUAGAACAUGACUAGUUAAGUUAGUUGUUUAGGACCCUAAGUUUGGGUUGGUUUAUGUAAUAAUUCUUGGAAAAUAGACAAUAAAGGUAUGGGCUGUUGGAUUCGUUUUUGACCAAAGGCUUUAGGUACCACUUAGCCCAAAUUUUAUAGGUUUCGACAUGUUUUGCAGCUUGCGCUAAUUGAUGUUCUGCUAAUGGUUCAACAUGGCUUGUGCCUUACAUUUUCAAAAAUGAUUGGAAAUGGUUGUACAUGCCCAAGUAGUAGAGUUCAAUCAUGUAUGUUCCAGAUUUUCGGAUUUGGUCUACAGCAGGUUAAGGCUUGAUAAAUGCUGCUUUUGUUGUUGGUUUUAUAUUCAUAACUGUUGGUGAUAACCUUAAGAGCGGUAAAAAAAUAAAUCAUGUAUGCAUUUGCACUACUUUGGUAUAUGUGUAUUAUGUUUGUACUGGCAGUUUGUAGCAGGUCCUGAUCAUGGUUUGGACUUUGUCACAGAAACUUGUGGUUUCCAUUUGGCUUUGGUGUAACAGGACUUAGUUCCCUUGCAUUUGCAUUUAUGUAUCAUGAUCCUCGUGAUUUCAUGGAUGUAUUUGCAGGUAUCGCUCAUUAGGCAGCUUAUGUUGGUGGUGUAUUCUGCGGCAUGGUCAUCACUCACGUCACGAUUCAUUUGUUCUCUUCGCUAAUGUCCAUGGCAUGAUGGCUAAAUAGUCAUGGUAUCCAAAUUGGGAAUUGAAGCAUCCAUACACUAAUGAUCCAACUGAAUAUGAAUUUGAAGAUGUGUUUAGAGUUAGGAUGGGGACUUGGAAUGAAAGGUUGGGUUUACUUUGGUUAAUAUUACCAAAUCUUGUAGGAAUUUUAUGGAUUGUAACAAGUGAUGUUUCUUUAUUUGAAUGAAACUUAUUGGUUUUGUAUUGAAUUUUGACAAAUUCGCCACACCA